UCUCCCAGAGGCAUCUAGGGCUGAAGAGGGAGCAUCAGGCUUUUUAAAAAAGGCAAAUUUAAGGCUCAGCUGAUGAAGGAGAAUGUCUGCGUCCCCACUGUGAAGGUGUGCCAAAGUUGCUUAUGCACAUAAUAGCCACAUGCAUUGAAAUGUGCUUGGACUUUGGGCUAAGGUCUCCAGGUCUCCUGAUUCAGGGCAUAGGUAUGCUGGUCUAUUUGGUGGCUCAAAUUGUGAAAUUCAGCAUUAGUGGCAGCAGCAGCAGCAACAAAAUGUAUCUGUGAUACAAAGAAUUCCAGCGCAACCAGAAAAAAUGUUGGUUAAAGAAAUUGAAGAGAGCUUUUGCAAAGCUUUCAGAAGAAGACAAAGAAGAAAGAUUUUACAGAUGGCUUCUUCAGAAGUCUGCUUCCAACAACAGCGAAGGCCCUUCUCCUAGUUCAACAGAGGCAAGAAUGAAGAGAAGAAAUAAAUCCUUCAUCUUCUGGAAAAGUCACCAUGCUCUUGCAAAUAUGCAGUGAUUGGCCCUGGAAAAGAGUAGCCACUCUUUGGAAAGAGUUUUCCCUCUGUACACAUGCACACAAGCAAGUGGUGCAUAUCACAUCCCACACCUUUAUAAAGGCAAACUCCACAAGAAAUGGAAGCUUAAGCUGUUGGGAUAGUAAACAACCUUUCAUGCUUUUUAAUACUGGAUAUAAGUGGAAUGUAGGUUUUUAGGACCUAAAGGAAUGCUUGCCUUUUCCACUAACCAAUUAGCAAAGGCCCCAUUCCUGGACUUGAGGCAAGCCCCCACUCUCUCUUCUUGUUUGUUUUCUUCCAUUGUUUAUUUGCCCCUUUCCUCUUCUUUUCUGACCAUUGCUGAGAACAGACAUAUAAAAUUCUGCUCCUGCCCUCCACCAUGUGGCUGCAGUAGUGGACUGAGACUCCGUCAUGGUUAAAGGCUGAAAUU